rnacentral:misc_RNA from 1 species
GAUGAAGAACGCAGCGAAAUGCGAUACUUGGUGUGAAUUGCAGAAUCCCGUGAACCAUCGAGUCUUUGAACGCAAGUUGCGCCCGAAGCCACUAGGCCGAGGGCACGCCUGCCUGGGCGUCACACGUCGUUGCCCCCCACCAUCUACUCCUUCGGGAUUGCGGGGGGCGGAUGAUGGCCUCCCGUGCGCCUAGCCGCGCGGUUGGCAUAAAUACCAAGUCCUCGGCGACGCACGCCACGACAAUCGGUGGUUGCGAAACCUCGGUUGCCCGUCGUGUGCGUUCGUCGCGCAUCGAGGGCUCGAAAAAAUGCUCGGCUCCGGCUCGGCUUUCAACGCGACCCCAGGUCAGGCGGGGUUACCCGCUGAAUUUAAGCAUAUCAAUAAGCUGAGGA